rnacentral:rRNA from 1 species
AGUGAACGCUGGCGGUAGGCCUAACACAUGCAAGUCGAACGGCAGCACAGGAGAGCUUGCUCUCUGGGUGGCGAGUGGCGGACGGGUGAGGAAUACAUCGGAAUCUACUCUGUCGUGGGGGAUAACGUAGGGAAACCUACGCUAAUACCGCAUACGACCUACGGGUGAAAGCAGGGGACCUUCGGGCCUUGCGCGAUUGAAUGAGCCGAUGUCGGAUUAGCUAGUUGGCGGGGUAAAGGCCCACCAAGGCGACGAUCCGUAGCUGGUCUGAGAGGAUGAUCAGCCACACUGGAACUGAGACACGGUCCAGACUCCUACGGGAGGCAGCAGUGGGGAAUAUUGGACAAUGGGCGCAAGCCUGAUCCAGCCAUACCGCGUGGGUGAAGAAGGCCUUCGGGUUGUAAAGCCCUUUUGUUGGGAAAGAAAUCCAGCUGGCUAAUACCCGGUUGGGAUGGCGGUACCCAAAGAAUAAGCACCGGCUAACUUCGUGCCAGCAGCCGCGGUAA